GAUCUUGGAGCACUUGAAGACUAAUAUAUCAAGCUGUACAGAGAAAGAACAAGCCUGGGUUCAUGUACUGAAGAUUACACAACAACAGAAGUGGGAAGACAAAUAUAAACGAGAAGAAUCAAUUCACUUUUCCUCCUGAAGGAGUUAUUCUCCGCAGCAUUCUGAAGGCUAUGAAUGAAGGAAAUUGCUGUUCUCGCCAUCACCAGGAACCAUCAGCUUGGCAGGUGAGAUCUUUCAUGCUGACGGUAGGCUGGGAGUAGAGUUACCUAAAUUCUAGCUUCC
rnacentral:lncRNA from 1 species